rnacentral:rRNA from 1 species
CCAUAAAUACAGAUGGCUGGAAUGCUUCUGUAUUCAAAGCUCCGGCGCCUGAGGAUGAGUCUGCGGCCUAUCAGGUUGUAGUCAGGGUCAAGACCUGACUAGCCAGCGACGGGUAUGGGGUGUGAGAGCACUUGCCCAGAGAUGGUUUCUGAGACACGAAACCAGGCCCUACGGGGCGCAGCAGGCGCGAAAACUUCGCAAUGCGGGAAACCGUGACGAGGGAACUCCGAGUGUCUAUGCAUUGCAUAGACUGUUUUUUAGCCUAAAUAGCUAUUAGAGUAAGGGGUGGGCAAGACCGGUGCCAGCCGCCGCGGUAACACCGGCACCCCGAGUGGUAGCCACUAUUAUUGGGCCUAAAGCGUUCGUAGCCGGUUUGGUAAAUUCUUGGGUAAAUCGUACCGCUCAACGGUGCGGAUUCCGGGGACACUACCAGACUUGAGACCGGGGGAGAUCAGAGGUACUUGCGGGGGAGCGGUGAAAUGUUGUAAUCCCGCAGGGACCACCAGUGGCGAAGGCGUCUGAUCAGAACGGCUCUGACGGUGAGGAACGAAACCCUGGGGCGCAAACGGGAUUAGAUACCCCGGUAGUCCAGGGCGUAAACGCUGCUGACUUGGUGUUGGGGAUCCUACGAGGAUGUCCAGUGCUGGCGCGAAGGUAUUAAGUCAGCCGCCUGGGGAGUACGGUCGCAAGACUGAAACUUAAAGGAAUUGGCGGGGGAGCACUGCAACGUGUGGAGCGUGCGGUUUAAUUGGACUCAACGCCGGGA